rnacentral:lncRNA from 10 species
AGGAGGUGGAUAAGCUGCCUGACACUGAUAUGGUAAAAGGAUUAUCUGCAAAUUUCUAGCGUCAUCAAGACUGGCCUCUUUGGAGAGAUCAGCAAUGUGUUUAGAUGCUGAUGGAAGGAGCCAGAAAAAAGGAAAAGGAGAAUAUUGAGGUGAGACGAGAUCUCCAAAUGCCCAGGUGAGAAGACCAGAUGAAAUGGGGCACAGGAGUAGGGCUAGCUUUGGAGAGGGAGGGGAGCCUCCUCCCCUCAUCCCCUGGAAGAGGAAAUGGCCUAUGAGAAGCCGGUGAGUGAAUGGGUUUGGUGGCAGCAAGUUGAGGAAAUGCCCAUCUGAUGGUGCCUAUGCUCUCUGCUGAAAGUGAGGAAGACGGGGUGGAGUUAGAGGUUAAAGAGAGAAUCUAAGGGCCGGGCACUGUGAGGAGGGCAAGGCAGGAUUGGUGGAGCCCAGGAGUUCAAGACCAGCCU